UACGAAGGGGGCUAGCGUUGCUCGGAAUCACUGGGCGUAAAGGGCGCGUAGGCGGCCAUUCAAGUCGGGGGUGAAAGCCUGUGGCUCAACCACAGAAUUGCCUUCGAUACUGUUUGGCUUGAGUUUGGUAGAGGUUGGUGGAACUGCGAGUGUAGAGGUGAAAUUCGUAGAUAUUCGCAAGAACACCAGUGGCGAAGGCGGCUCACUGGCCCGGUACUGACGCUGAGGUGCGAAAGCGUGGGGAGCAAACAGG
rnacentral:rRNA from 1 species